rfam:Aspergillus zonatus CBS 506.65 unplaced genomic scaffold ASPZOscaffold_3, whole genome shotgun sequence.
GCCCCGUUAGCUCAGUCGGAAGAGCGUCAGACUUUUAAUCUGAAUGCCGCGGGAUCGAGACCCGCACGGGGCG